UAUAAGGAUAAGGUGUAUUAGUGUGAAAUACUAAACUUUAUACUUUGUGUAUGAGGAUAGGGUGUAUCAAUGUGAAAUACUACACUUUAUAUUUUGUGUAUGAGGAUAAGGUGUAUUAGUGUGAAAUACUAAACUUUAUAUUUUGUGUAUGAGGAUAGGGUGUAUCAAUGUGAAAUACUACACUUUAUACGUUGUGUAUGAGGAUAAGGUGUAUCAAUGUGAAAUACUACACUUUAUACGUUGUGUAUGAGGAUAGGGUGUAUCAAUGUGAAAUACUACACUUUAUACGUUGUGUAUGAGGAUAAGGUGUAUUAGUGUGAAAUGCUAUUCUUCUUGAGGGAGUGAAAUGAAAGGGAGAAAUUUUUUUUUGCUGCUCGUAAGUUCUUGAACUGGUUUCACCACACAAAAUUGAGUAGCUUUUAUUUGGUGUAUUAAAACAAAUGUUUAUCUACAUACAAUUUUUAUUUGUGACAAAAAGGUUCUAACAUGAGUAAAAUUUCUGUGGAGUUUGUAGUAGUAGGGCUGGCAAACUUACUGAAGUGGUCUGCAUUAUAAAAAAAAAAGUAUCAUUUGACCAAUUCUUUCAUGGAUUCUGUUACUUUAUUGCUACUGCUUUACACUUGUCAUGUCAUUUGAGGUGCUGUUGUGACAAAACUUCACUUACAAUUGAACUGAAGUUGAUGUUUGUUAGGAUGACAGAAGAGUAGUUACAAGUAUUUAUCCCUGAAACAUUCAUUAAGUGUUUUACAGUAGUGAAAAUAUGCAAUAAAUCUUAGCACGAGGUUGUAACAUUUAUGUAUGAAUUAAAAUAGUAUUUUGGUUUUGAAACAUUUGCAACUGACCUUCCAGAUCUUUUAACUGUGGCAGUUUUCCAGCUUCACUGAUGAAAAUUAUAUAUAAUAAUGUGCAAUCGGAACAAAGCAUCUGUUAAAAAAGAAGUUAAGGCAACCAGUGACAAUAUAAACUUCAAGUUAUUCAGAAAGUCUUCUGAGGAUUGUAAACUUACAAAUUCCAAGGAGAAUAUGGGGAGAACCUGGUAAUCCGAUUUGUUGCUCCUAAAAUAAAAGCUCGUCGAUCCAUUACCAGACGGCGCUUCUGUCCCAACUGUCAACAGUAUUACUGCAAGGAGAGACUUCCUUUACACAAGUGCAAAGAGCGACUGUAUUGCUGCCCUGUCUGUCACAAACGACUCUCGAACGAACAUUCCCUGAAGAGGCACAUCCGCCUACAGCAUUCUGUGGUACCUAGGGAGGCUUAUAAGUGCAAAGUGUGUGGCAAGGAGUUUCUAACUUUGAGCUAUGCUGAAGAGCAUAAAGAAAAGUGCCGGAGUUUUGAAGUAUUGGACAGUUAAAUGUGUAUCCAUGUAUAAGCACACUGUUCCACGAGUUUUGUUACAUUAUUGUUUUUUAUAUAUGUUUUUAAAAUGCAGUGUAUUACAACUACUCGUAACGUGAAGUUUUUGUAAUAAGUAUUUUUGAACGGUGAUUGUGAGUCAUCCUACUAAACACAUAGGUAGCAAUUCAACACUGUACCAUACAAUAGCCUUCUUCAGGAAUGGUUUUUAACACUAGAUAAUAGUUCAACACCGUGCCAUACAAUAGCCUUCCUCAUGAAUGUUUUUUUAACACUAGAUAAUAGUUCAAACCGUGCCAUACAAUAGCCUUCCUCAGGAAUGGUUUUUUAACACUAGAUAAUAGUUCAAACCGUGCCAUACAAUAGCCUUCCUCAGGAAUGGUUUUUUAACACUAGAUAAUAGUUCAAACCGUGCCAUACAAUAGCCUUCCUCAGGAAUAGUUUUUAACAAUAGAUAAUAGUUCAAACCGUGCCAUACAAUAACCUUCCUCAGGAAUGGUUUUUAACACUACAUAUUUCUUUACACUGUAUAGUAUCAUGUACUGACUCUUAUUGCCUUACUAAAAGUGCAACCACACGAUAUAAGGUACAAUAGCACUGGUUGAAUUCAGCCCAUGACAUGGCUAAAUAUGUAAAUAUCGGUUACAGUGAGCGAUACCUCAAAUCUAUUCUGUUAUCGGUGAGUACACAGAUCUGCUCGUCAAGGUGUAAUGGAGUCCAAUUUGAAAUGUAUAAACCACUUUACAAGUGUAAUUUUGUUAGUGAAUAUUUUAAAGAGGAAUUUAUUUUUUUAGCAACGUGAACGUUAUUUGUAGAUUGACUGUUUAGUUGAAUAAUACGUAAUUAUGUAUGUCCACUUUUUUUUGUCUUUUUUAAUGGUUAUAUGUAUAUCUCUCAUUUGUGAGAUAAUGCAUUUAAGAGUUAGAAGUUAUAAACGUAUCGUGGUAGUAAUUUUCACAAUAUAGCUUACUUUAAAAUGGUGUUUAAACUGUAAAUAACAUGUUAGGUCUAUUUGCUAAUAUUAAUGGAUUGCCAACUGCCUGUUGAAGGAAAAUUAGGCGACGUUUCGGCUACUGCACUUAGGCCUUCUUCGGUAUAAAAGCCGAAACGUCGUCUCCUUUUCUUUCAACAGGCAGUUACAGUCAGUCAAACUUAAUGUGUUUACUUUGCCUAAAGUUCCAAUGAAACAACAUACAUUAAUGGUUAUAUUGAUACAAAAUAAACACACAAAAGUUGGAGAAGAGGACAAUUCUGAUUUUUUCAAAGUAUUCAAAUCUAUAACAAGACAAGACAUAAUAUUCAGUUCCUUCCGAUCAUAAACAGAUAUGCUUAGUGCGAUGUAUAUAGUAAUGUCUGUGUGUUGUUUGUUUUUUACUGAAUAAUAACGAGGGAAAUAGGAUGUAGACAUAAAACUGAAAGUAAUUAAUAAAUUUUCUUUCAAAACUUACCGAUGCUUUGUUCUGUAGUUGCCAUAUUUUUAUGAAAUAAAGAAAAACUUUGUAAGUUUUUUUAGAUUGUUAACAAGUUGAGAUUACAUAGUGUAUGUAUUUUAGGGUUAAAGAUAACGUGAAACAGAAUAAUGUGUUGUUUAUUGCUGACCUUUAAUGUUGUGUAACUUAGCACUAAUCACACAAAGCUAACCUGUAAUUUUGGAGUUUUUUACCUAGAAAGAAGGUUUCUGUUAUUGAGUUUGUAAAUGGUUUUACGUAUUUAAAGUCGGUGGGGGAAGUAAAUAACGUCUUUUUUUAAUAAACAGGCUAAUUUGCAGGUUUUUUUGUUUUUUUUUAACCUUCGUUAGAACCCCUACAAGAAAUCAGUAGUAUGAAAUUUAAAAAUAUCGUUUAAAAGAAUGUAGUGACUACCUUCCAUAACAAGUGUAAACUAUCUUUCAGGUUUCAUUAAUAUAUAUUGUGCAUAUAUACAGAUGUAUCUAUUUAACUUAAAUGUAUUUAAGAGACAUUGUGCUAGAUUGAGUGUGUGUGUGUGUGUGUCUUGAUUUUCAGAGAUACAAGUUUUCAAAGGAUAAAGUAAGCAAACAAUAAGUGUAUUCGUUUUUCCAUUAACUCGAGAUCAUCCAACUCUGUAAAUAAAGUAGAUAUUUGUUUUAUUCUAGGAUAUUGGUUUAAAGAACACUUACCUUGGUUGAUGGGCAAGAAAAGAAAAGUCCCUAUGAAGAUUAGCAGCUGUUCCGUGUGCCAAAAAGUAUUCAAAUAUCCAUCUAAGUUAAAACAGCACAUGGCCGCUCAUAGGACAGAGCAUCACGUAUGUCCACGAUGCUCGCGUGUGUUUACGUGGAAAACUAGCUUGUACAGACACCUUCGAUGGGACCACAACAAAAAGGAAUGAACUAGAGAUACUUGGUUGUGUCUUUUAAUAGAAUGUGCACAUCGCUCAGCUAAAAAUUUUGUACUCCAUUAAAUAAAAUACCAUCUUAUGGCUUCUGUUUGUCAGUCAUCAUAAAGGUUGACAGAUACCACACACUGUGGUGAUAAAAGAAAAUGAAACCA